GAUGAACGCUGGCGGCGUGCUUAACACAUGCAAGUCGAACGAGAAAUGGAGACGGAAACCUUCGGGCGGAAGGCUUCAUUUCGAGUGGCGGACGGGUGAGUAACGCGUGGGUAACCUGCCUCAUACAGGGGGAUAACAGUUGGAAACGACUGUUAAUACCGCAUAAGGCCACAGCACCGCAUGAUUCGGGGGUAAAAACUCCGGUGGCAUGAGAUGGACCCGCGUUCGAUUAGCCAGUUGGCGGGGUAAAGGCCCACCAAGGCGACGAUCGAUAGCCGAUCUGAGAGGAUGACCGGCCACAUUGGGACUGAGACACGGCCCAGACUCCUACGGGAGGCAGCAGUGGGGAAUAUUGCACAAUGGGGGAAACCCUGAUGCAGCGACGCCGCGUGUGUGAAGAAGUACUUAGGUAUGUAAAGCUCUAUCAGCAGGGAAGAUAAUGACGGUACCGGAGGAAGAAGCCCCGGCUAACUACGUG
rnacentral:rRNA from 1 species